CGGCGCGACGGUGGAGUAGACGCGUAUCCAACCUGCCCUUUACUAUGGGACAGCCCGUCGAAAGGCGGAUUAAUACCGUAUGUUGUCAUGUUGAUGCAUAUUUUCAUGACCAAAGGCUUCGGCCGGUAAAGGAUGGGGAUGCGUCUGAUUAGCUUGCCGGCGGGGUAACGGCCCACCGGGGCGACGAUCAGUAGGGGUUCUGAGAGGAAGGUCCCCCACAUUGGAACUGAGACACGGUCCAAACUCCUACGGGAGGCAGCAG
rnacentral:rRNA from 1 species